rnacentral:rRNA from 1 species
UACGUAGGGGGCAAGCGUUGUCCGGAUUUAUUGGGCGUAAAGAGCGUGUAGGCGGUUGGGUAGGUCCGUUGUGAAAACUCGAGGCUCAACCUCGAGACGCCGAUGGAAACCCCCCAGCUAGAGUCCGGAAGAGGAGAGUGGAAUUCCUGGUGUAGCGGCGAAAUGCGCAGAUAUCAGGAAGAACACCCGUGGCUAAGGCGGCUCUCUAGUACGGUACUGACGCUGAGACGCGAAAGCGUGGGGAGCGAACAGG